GACGGAGGGUGCAAACGUUACUCGGAAUCACUGGGCAUAAAGCGCACGUAGGCGGCCAGCUAAGUCUGGUGUGAAAGCCCCCGGCUCAACCGGGGAAUUGCAUUAGAUACUGGCUGGCUCGAGGACGGUAGGGGUGAGUGGAACUCCAGGUGGAGCGGUGAAAUGCGUAGAUAUCUGGAGGAACACCGGUGGCGAAAGCGGCUCACUGGACCGUCUCUGACGCUAAGGUGCGAAAGCCAGGGUAGCGAACGGG
rnacentral:misc_RNA from 1 species